AGAGACAGCAGUAGCCACGGGAAUACGGAGGGUGCAAGCGUUAAUCGGAAUUACUGGGCGUAAAGCGCACGCAGGCGGUUUGUUAAGUCAGAUGUGAAAUCCCCGAGCUUAACUUGGGAACUGCAUUUGAAACUGGCAAGCUAGAGUCUUGUAGAGGGGGGUAGAAUUCCAGGUGUAGCGGUGAAAUGCGUAGAGAUCUGGAGGAAUACCGGUGGCGAAGGCGGCCCCCUGGACAAAGACUGACGCUCAGGUGCGAAAGCGUGGGGAGCAAACAGGAUUAGAUACCCGCGUAGUCCCUGUCUCUUAUAC
rnacentral:rRNA from 1 species